rnacentral:misc_RNA from 1 species
GUUGGCUGCUGCUGCUGCUGCG